AUUGAACGCUGGCGGCAGGCUUAACACAUGCAAGUCGAGCGGAGAUGAGGUGCUGCACCUUAUCUUAGCGGCGGACGGGUGAGUAAUGCUUAGGAAUCUGCCUAUUAGUGGGGGACAACAUUCCGAAAGGAAUGCUAAUACCGCAUACGUCCUACGGGAGAAAGCAGGGGAUCUUCGGACCUUGCGCUAAUAGAUGAGCCUAAGUCGGAUUAGCUAGUUGGUGGGGUAAAGGCCCACCAAGGCGACGAUCUGUAGCGGGUCUGAGAGGAUGAUACGCCACACUGGGACUGAGACACGGCCCAGACUCCUACGGGAGGCAGCAGUGGGGAAUAAUGGACAAUGGGGGGAACCCUGAUCCAGCCAUGCCGCGUGUGUGAAGAAGGCCUUAUGGUUGUAAAGCACUUUAAGCGAGGAGGAGGCUACUGAGACUAAUACUCUUGGAUAGUGGACGUUACUCGCAGAAUAAGCACCGGCUAACUCUGUGCCAGCCGCCGCGGUAAUAC
rnacentral:rRNA from 1 species